GAUGAACGCUGGCGGCGUGCCUAAUACAUGCAAGUCGAGCGAACAGAUGAGGAGCUUGCUCCUCUGACGUUAGCGGCGGACGGGUGAGUAACACGUGGAUAACCUACCUAUAAGACUGGGAUAACUUCGGGAAACCGGAGCUAAUACCGGAUAAUAUAUUGAACCGCAUGGUUCAAUAGUGAAAGACGGUUUUGCUGUCACUUCUAGAUGGAUCCGCGCCGCAUUAGCUAGUUGGUAAGGUAACGGCUUACCAAGGCAACGAUGCGUAGCCGACCUGAGAGGGUGAUCGGCCACACUGGAGCUGAGACACGGUCCAGACUCCUACGGGAGGCAGCAGUAGGGAAUCUUCCGCAAUGGGCGAAAGCCUGACGGAGCAACGCCGCGUGAGUGAUGAAGGUCUUCGGAUCGUAAAACUCUGUUAUUAGGGAAGAACAAAUGUGUAAGUAACUAUGCACGUCUUGACGGUACCUAAUCAGAAAGCCACGGCUAACUACGU
rnacentral:rRNA from 1 species